rnacentral:lncRNA from 1 species
GCCGUGAUGGCACUCAGCUCCCUGCGUUCGUGGAUCAUUUCUUCCCCGAGGGAGGGCACCUGAGGGCGGGGCAAGGGUGAAGGAGGCCGAGACAGGUUAUGGUGAGAUGGGGAAACACGGGGAUGUGAAUAAAUGCAGGGAAGGCACCAGGACAGUGGUCGGAGGGCCUGAGGUCCUCAGCUGCAAGAGGCCGGGGCUGGAAUCCAGACCAGGGGCGGAGCCGGAAGAAUGCGGGACGCCCCGGCUCACGCCAGGACGAGAGGAGGCAGCUAGAGGAAGCACGGUGGUCCCAACCCCUCGUCCUCCGCCCAUCCUCAGCUUCCCGCGCUGGGAGCCAGGAUGCGGGGGCGGCUCUGCCUGCUUCCCUCUGCUGGCACGUCGAGGAAACUGCAGGUCGGCUGCUGCGCGGUCCUCCAAGCUCCACCCUAAGUGCCCCAGCGGAGUGCAAGUGCGCAAGGACCGCUGCGUCCCCCCGCUCAAGGAGCCGAGGCCCAGGAAGGAGAAGGAACCGCUCUGCGUCUUAAAGCACGUUAGUGGGCUCGAGUCCGCUCCACCCACGGCCGCCCGAGGUGCUCGGCGGCCUCGGAGAGCGCCCCCUUGUGUUCAUCCGCGGGCGUCGCAGAAACUCGUCCGCCUCAGCCCGCGCCGGACUCCGCAGCUGUCUCCCUCCCAAAGGCGGUGGAGUCCCGAGAACUUGAGCCCAGGAGUUUACAGGGAACUGCCUGCAACCGGACGUAAUCAUAUUAAGCAAACUGAUUCAGUCUCAGGAAUGGAAAUACGGCAUUUCCCCCUGUGGGUUCUAGAUGUUAUAUUGAUGCAUAAAAUCACACAAACAGAUGAUGUGGAAACAGAAACCUCGCUCUCCGGGCCUAGGGGCCCAAAAGGGGACUGGUGCAAAGAGGAGGGGCUGGACAAGGGAGAGAAGCGGGACACAGCGACAGGAUGUGCUCACAUCGCGUACUUUCACGAAGAUGGCAACAUAGCAAACAAACACGACUCGCCAUUAACAGGUCAGUAAGGGACCCGUCCAGGCAUUGAGACUUCCAGGUUCAGGGUGCUCAGGAAGGAGAAAACAAGACAGACGUCCUUGAGGAAGGUCAGGCCCCGGAGUUCUGCUCACCUUAGUGACCAGAGAGUCAGCAGAGUGGGAGACUGAGGGUGUGCGCUCAGGAGCUGCGGCUCUGUUCUCCGCCAUGAGUCCAGCCAAGCGGGACUGCUCUCUGGCUUCAAGAGCAAAGACACCCUCCGGCCAAAG